GAUGAACGCUGACAGAAUGCUUAACACAUGCAAGUCAACUGUGGCGGACGGGUGAGUAACGCGUAAAGAACUUGCCUCACAGAUAGGGACAACAUUUGGCAACGAAUGCUAAUACCUGCUACUGGGAGAGAGUUUUGCUUCCCAUUAGCUAGUUGGAGAGGUAACGGCUCACCAAGGCGAUGAUGGGUAGCCGGCCUGAGAGGGUGAUCGGCCACAAGGGGACUUAGACGCCGCCCUUACUCCUACGGGCGGCAGCAGUGGAGAUUUAUGGACAAUGGACAAAAGUCUGAUCCAGCAAUUCUGAGAGAACGAUGAAGUUUUCGGAAUGUAAAGUGCUUUCAGUUGGGAAGCGGUACCAACAGAAGAAGUCACGGCUAGAUACGUGCCAGCAGCCGCGGUAAUAC
rnacentral:rRNA from 1 species